GCUUUAGCUAGGGCACAGUUGUACACCCGAAGUCGUGAGGUAACCGUAAGGAGCCAGCCGCCUAAGGUGGGAUAGAUGAUUGGGGUGAAGUCGUAACAAGGUAGCCGUAUCGGAAGGUGCGGCUGGAUCACCUCCUUUCUAAGGAUAAGGAACUGCGCAUUGGUCUUGUUUAGUCUUGAGAGGUCUUGUGGGGCCUUAGCUCAGCUGGGAGAGCGCCUGCUUUGCCGCAGGAGGUCAGCGGUUCGAUCCCGCUAGGCUCCAUUGGUGAGAGAUCACCCAGUAAUGCACAUUGAAAAUUGAAUAUCUGUAUCAAAUAGUAACAAGAAAAUAAACCGAAAACGCUGUAGUAUUAAUAAGAGUUUAUGACUGAAAGGUCAGAAAAUAAGGUUAAGUUAAUCAGGGCGCACGGUGCAUGCCUUGGCACUAGGAGCCGACGAAGGACGUGACAGACGACGAUAUGCCUUGAGUAGCUGUGAGUGAGCGAUGAUGCGUGCAUUUCCGAACGGCGUAACCCAAAGUCCCGGGAACGUAUUCACAGGCCCGGGAACGUAUUCACAGGCCGGGACGUAUUCACAGGCCCGGGACGUAUUCACAGGCCGGGAACGUAUUCACAGGGCCGGGAACGUAUUCACAGGCUCGGAACGUAUUCACAGUCAGGUAAACGUUAUCACAUGAUCCGGGAACUAUCAUAAGUCCUGGUAGCGUAUGCCCAGCCCGGAACGAUCGCAAGUCCA
rnacentral:sRNA from 1 species